UACGUAGGGGGCGAGCGUUGUCCGGAAUCAUUGGGCGUAAAGCGCGUGUAGGCGGCCCGGUAAGUCCGCUGUGAAAGUCCAGGGCUCAACCCUGGGAUGCCGGUGGAUACUGUCCGGCUCGAGUCCGGAAGAGGCGAGUGGAAUUCCUGGUGUAGCGGUGAAAUGCGCAGAUAUCAGGAGGAACACCAAUGGCGAAGGCAGCUCGCUGGGACGUGACUGACGCUGAGACGCGAAAGCGUGGGGAGCAAACAGG
rnacentral:rRNA from 1 species